AUAGAGGCCUACCAUGGUGGUAACGGGUAACGGGGUGUUAGGGCACGACACCGGAGAGGGAGCCUGAGAAACGGCUACCACAUCCAAGGAUGGCAGCAGGCGCGCAAAUUACCCAAUCCCGACACGGGGAGGUAGUGACAAUAAAUAACAAUACGGGGUUCUUUCGGAUCUCGUAAUUGGAAUGAGUACAAUUUAAAUCUCUUAACGAGGAACAAUUGGAGGGCAAGUCUGGUGCCAGCAGCCGCGGUAAUUCCAGCUCCAAUAGCGUAUAUUAAAGUUGUUGCAGUUAAAAAGCUCGUAGUUGAAUUUCGGGGUUAGUAGGUUGGUCAUGCCUCUGGUAUGUACUGGUCUCACUGAUUCCUCCUUCCUGAUGAACCGUAAUGCCAUUAAUUUGGUGUUGCGGGGAAUUUGGACUGUUACUUUGAAAAAAUUAGAGUGUUUAAAGCAAGCUAACGCUUGAAUACAUUAGCAUGGAAUAAUGAAAUAGGACGUUCGAUCCUAUUUUGUUGGUUUCUAGGAUUGACGUAAUGAUUAAUAGGGAUAGUUGGGGGCAUUAGUAUUCAAUUGUCAGAGGUGAAAUUCUUGGAUUUAUUGAAGACUAACUACUGCGAAAGCAUUUGCCAAGGAUGUUUUCAUUAAUCAAGAACGAAAGUUAUGGGAUCGAAGACGAUCAGAUACCGUCGUAGUCUUAACCAUAAACUAUGCCGACUAGG
rnacentral:rRNA from 1 species